rnacentral:rRNA from 1 species
GACGAACGCUGGCGGCGUGCUUAACACAUGCAAGUCGAACGGAAAGGCCCUGCUUUUGUGGGGUGCUCGAGUGGCGAACGGGUUAGUAACACGUGAGUAGCCUGCCCUUGACUUUGGGAUAACUUCAGGAAACUGGGGCUAAUACCGGAUAGGAGCUCCUGCUGCAUGGUGGGGGUUGGAAAGUUUCGGCGGUUGGGGAUGGACUCGCGGCUUAUCAGCUUGUUGGUGGGGUAGUGGCUUACCAAGGCUUUGACGGGUAGCCGGCCUGAGAGGGUGACCGGCAACAUUGGGACUGAGAUACGGCCCAGACUCCUACGGGAGGCAGCAGUGGGGAAUAUUGCACAAUGGGCGGACGCCUGAUGCAGCAACGCCGCGUGCGGGAUGACGGCCUUCGGGUUGUAAACCGCUUUCGCCUGUGACGAAGCGUGAGUGACGGUAAUGGGUAAAGAAGCACCGGCUAACUACGUG